rnacentral:rRNA from 1 species
GGGAGGUAGUGACAAUAAAUAACAAUACGGGGCUCUUUAGGGUCUCGUAAUUGGAAUGAGUACAAUUUAAAUCCCUUAACGAGGAACAAUUGGAGGGCAAGUCUGGUGCCAGCAGCCGCGGUAAUUCCAGCUCCAAUAGCGUAUAUUAAAGUUGUUGCAGUUAAAAAGCUCGUAGUUGAAUUUCGGGAUUUGCACAUCGGUCGUGCCUUAAGGGGUAUGAACUGGUGUAGUGAAUUUCUCACCUUCUGGAGAACCGUGAUGUCCUUAAUUGGGUGCCACGAGGAACCAGGACCUUUACUUUGAAAAAAUUAGAGUGUUUAAAGCAGGCAUUUUUGCUUGAAUACAUUAGCAUGGAAUAAUAAAAUAGGACGGCAUGAUUCUAUUUUGUUGGUUUCUAGGAUCACCGUAAUGAUUAAUAGGGAUAGUUGGG